CCAGUAUGAUUUCGUCACAUGCUGAGUUAGCCUCAGAGUGCUAAUUUGUGGGUUACACCCCAACCUAAGAAUUGAAAGACACCAAAGCAGAUUGAUAGCUAACUUUGAGAAGUGCAUAGUGUUGAGUAGCCUUAGGCCACAGUGCGGAUAAUGCUGUGGCA
rnacentral:ncRNA from 1 species